rnacentral:rRNA from 1 species
CAGCAGCCACGGUAAUACGUAGGUGGCAAGCGUUGUCCGGAAUUAUUGGGCGUAAAGGGCUCGCAGGCGGUUUCUUAAGUCUGAUGUGAAAGCCCCCGGCUCAACCGGGGAGGGUCAUUGGAAACUGGGAAACUUGAGUGCAGAAGAGGAGAGUGGAAUUCCACGUGUAGCGGUGAAAUGCGUAGAGAUGUGGAGGAACACCAGUGGCGAAGGCGACUCUCUGGUCAGUAACUGACGCUGAGGAGCGAAAGCGUGGGGAGCGAACAGGAUUAGAUACCCCCGUAGUCCCUGUCUCUUAUAC